GGGCCAGUGGUCUAACGGUAUGACGCAACCUCCGCAAGGUUGAGGCUUCGGGUUCAAUUCCCGACUGGUCCA
rnacentral:tRNA from 1 species